rnacentral:lncRNA from 10 species
GAAAGAUCACCCUGAUCAGAGCUGGGAGAAUGGAGGUGCCGGGCAGGAGCAGAUGCCAGGGCCUGCUUGGAGGCAACUGGAAUACUCCAGGCAAGAGGACGGAGUCCAAGGCCAGGGUGGGAGAAGGGGUUGGGAAGCCCUGCCGGGGGUAGAAUGGACUCAAGAUUUGAAAUUCGGGCAGGGAGUGGGAAACAGUGUCAGUCAUGAGCCCCUGGGUGCUGCCUCAUGGACCAAAUGGAUGCUGGUGCCAUUGACUGCGAUAGAAUCCUGGGGAGCGACCAGAGCGAGGUGGCAAAGAGAUAGAGAGAGAGGGAGAGAGAGAGAAUUGUGUGUGUGUGUGUGUGUGUGUGUGUGAGCGAGGUGGCAAAGAGAAAGAGAGAGAGAGAGAAUGUGUGUGUGUGUGUGUGUGUGAGCGAGGUGGCAAAGAGAUAGGGAGAGAGAGAGAAUGUGUGUGUGUGUGUGUGUGUGUGUGAGCGAGGUGGCAAAGAGAUAGGGAGAGAGAGAGAGUGUGUGUGUGUGUGUGAGCGAGGUGGCAAAGAGAUAGGGAGAGAGAGAGAAUGUGUGUGUGUGUGUGUGUGAGCGAGGUGGCAAAGAGAAAGGGAGAGAGAGAAUGGGUGUGUGUGUGUGUGAGCGAGGUGGCAAAGAGAAAGGGAGAGAGAGAAUGUGUGUGUGUGUGUGUGAGCGAGGUGGCAAAGAGAAAGGGAG